AAAUGCAUAUGUUUUCAAUUGGUUGGCAUCAUGCAACUCUUUUCACUGCCACAAAGACUGGUUGAGAGCAUUUCCUUUCUAAUCCUAACUGUUGGAGCCAAGAAAAGUUUAUAAAACCUUGUCAUCUCACUCUUCUUCUGAAUUUUGUUAUGAACAUUUUUUUGAGCAUUUCCUCUUAUGAUCAAUUUAGAACCUUGGAUUAUUAUACUAUACUUAAUGCUCCUAGGCUAUUUCUUUUCUUUUUUAAGAUAUACACAUGCAUGUAUAUGACAAUGUGCAUACACCAGGUAAUCAAAAUCUCCUAUCGAAAUAAUAUUUAAUUUCAAUUACUCUUCUUAGUGAAGUUGGAGUUAAAUAUAAUCUUGAGAAUCUUAGGAGGUAUUCAAAAUCAAAUUAAUUACACAGGAAAUAUUGAUGAAGUGCCUAGUAUUUAUUUCAUGUGGAUUAAUAUCCUAAAGGUUGCUUCGUUAAAUGACCACUGCAGAAUUUUUAUUUAUAUAUGAAUUUAUAUUUGAUAAUGGGGAUGGAAUUCAACCUUUAGCCUCGAGCUCAGAGGAGCUGUGGCAACUAACUAGGUUAUGCCUGGGCCAUUGACCAACUCAGAGGUGGGUGUAUGUGAAUCAUGUCAUGGAUGUCCAUUGAGUUUCCAUUUUUGUUUCAAGUGUGCAGAUUUGGUAUUGCAUGAGAUAAAAGAACAAAGACUGCUGGUCAUUUUAGCACUGUUGUUGGAGCUGUUGUUGAAAAAAUACCUCCUUAAAUAUGUUAGUUAGAGGGUA
rnacentral:misc_RNA from 1 species